rnacentral:rRNA from 1 species
CAUGGCUCAGAUUGAACGCUGGCGGAAUGCUUUACACAUGCAAGUCGGGCGGCAGCGCGGGGGCAACCCUGGCGGCGAGCGGCGAACGGGUGAGUAAUACAUCGGAACGUACCCAGUCGUGGGGGAUAGCCCGGCGAAAGCCGGAUUAAUACCGCAUACGCCCUGAGGGGGAAAGCGGGGGACCGGAAACGGCCUCGCGCGAUUGGAGCGGCCGAUGGCGGAUUAGCUAGUUGGUGGGGUAAAGGCCUACCAAGGCGACGAUCCGUAGCUGGUCUGAGAGGAUGAUCAGCCACACUGGAACUGAGACACGGUCCAGACUCCUACGGGAGGCAGCAGUGGGGAAUUUUGGACAAUGGGCGCAAGCCUGAUCCAGCCAUUCCGCGUGAGUGAAGAAGGCCUUCGGGUUGUAAAGCUCUUUCGGCAGGA